rnacentral:rRNA from 1 species
AGUCGAACGGAGUUAUGAUGUGAGCGGGAAGUGCUUGCACUAAACAAUCUUUUCAUAACUUAGUGGCGGACGGGUGAGUAACGCGUGGGUAACCUGCCCUGUACUGGGGGACAACAGUUGGAAACGACUGCUAAUACCGCAUAAGCGCACGGGAUCGCAUGACCGUGUGUGAAAAACUCCGGUGGUACAGGAUGGACCCGCGUCUGAUUAGCUGGUUGGUGAGGUAACGGCCCACCAAGGCAACGAUCAGUAGCCGGCCUGAGAGGGUGAACGGCCACAUUGGGACUGAGACACGGCCCAAACUCCUACGGGAGGCAGCAGUGGGGAAUAUUGCACAAUGGGGGAAACCCUGAUGCAGCGACGCCGCGUGAGUGAAGAAGUAUUUCGGUAUGUAAAGCUCUAUCAGCAGGGAAGAAAAUGACGGUACCUGACUAAGAAGCCCCGGCUAACUACGUGCCAGCAGCCGCGGUAAUACGUAGGGGGCAAGCGUUAUCCGGAUUUACUGGGUGUAAAGGGAGCGUAGACGGCAUGGCAAGUCUGAAGUGAAAUGCGGGGGCUCAACCCCUGAACUGCUUUGGAAACUGUCAGGCUGGAGUGCAGGAGAGGUAAGUGGGAUUCCUAGUGUAGCGGUGAAAUGCGUAGAUAUUAGGAGGAACACCAGUGGCGAAGGCGGCUUACUGGACUGUAACUGACGUUGAGGCUCGAAAGCGUGGGGAGCAAACAGGAUUAGAUACCCUGGUAGUCCACGCCGUAAACGAUGAUUACUAGGUGUUGGGGAUUUAUAAAUCCCCGGUGCCGUCGCAA